GUGGUUGUGGCUCAGCAGUAGAGCACUUGCCUAGUAUGUGAGAGGUGCUGGGUUCAAGCCUCAGCACCACA
rnacentral:tRNA from 1 species